rnacentral:misc_RNA from 1 species
AUGAAACUUCAAAGUCGGCUCGUUCUGUGCUGGUGAUUACUCACAUGUGCACGUCGAGUCGCAAAUCCACACACCUGUGCAUCUUUGACUCGAGGUUAGUAAAAUGACCAAGAGUACUUUUAUACACUCUGAAUGUAAUGGAAUGUCUAUGUGCAAUAAUGUACAAAUAAA